rnacentral:rRNA from 1 species
UGGGAUUCAGAUGGGCAUGCGUGACAUUAGUUAGUUGGUGAGGUAACGGCUCACCAAGGCGACGACGGGUAGCCGGCCUGAGAGGGUGACCGGCCACACUGGGACUGAGACACGGCCCAGACUCCUACGGGAGGCAGCAGUGGGGAAUAUUGCACAAUGGGGGAAACCCUGAUGCAGCCAUGCCGCGUGUGUGAAGAAGGCCUUCGGGUUGUAAAGCACUUUCAGCGAGGAGGAAAGGGAUGUAGUUAAUAACUGCAUUCUGUGACGUUACUCGCAGAAGAAGCACCGGCUAACUUCGUGCCAGCAGCCGCGGUAAUACGAGGGGUGCAAGCGUUAAUCGGAAUUACUGGGCGUAAAGCGCACGCAGGCGGUUUGUUAAGCUAGAUGUGAAAGCCCCGGGCUCAACCUGG